UGAGCAACCUGCCCUUGACUCCGGAAUAACAGCUGGAAACAGCUGCUAAUACCGGAUAUGACCUCCGAUGGCAUCAUCUGGAGGUGGAAAGCUCCGGCGGUCAAGGAUGGGCUCGCGGCCUAUCAGCUUGUUGGUGAGGUAAUGGCUCACCAAGGCGACGACGGGUAGCCGGCCUGAGAGGGUGACCGGCCACACUGGGACUGAGACACGGCCCAGACUCCGUAACGGGG
rnacentral:rRNA from 1 species